rnacentral:rRNA from 1 species
UCAAGUUAUUAAGGGUGCAGGGCGGAUGCCUUGGCACUAGGAGCCGAUGAAGGACGUGAUAAGCUGCGAUAAGCUUCGGGGAGUUGCACGUAAACUUUGAUCCGAAGAUUUCCGAAUGAGGAAACUCACUUAGAGUAAUGUCUAAGUAUCAUUAAGUGAAUACAUAGCUUAAUGAGGGGAACUCAGGGAACUGAAACAUCUAAGUACCUGAAGGAAGAGAAAGAAAUUCGAUUCCGUAAGUAGCGGCGAGCGAACGCGGAUUAGCCCAAACCAAUAAAGUUUUCUUUAUUGGGGUUGCGGACAUAUCAUAACGAAGAGGUAUCGUAAUUGAAGAGGUUUGGAAAGACCCACCACAGAAGGUAAUAGUCCUGUAUGUUAAACGAGAAGACUUUAGAUAUGAUCCAGAGUACCACGGGACACGUGAAACCCUGUGGGAAGCAGGAGGGACCACCCUCCAAGGCUAAAUACUACCUAGUGACCGAUAGCGUAUAGUACCGUGAGGGAAAGGUGAAAAGAACCCCGGGAGGGGAGUGAAAUAGAACCUGAAACCCUGCACUUACAAGCUGUGGAAGCACAUUUCUUGUGUGACCGCGUACUUUUUGUAGAACGGGCCAACGAGUUACGUUAAGUAGCAAGGUUAAGCACUUAAGGUGCGGAGCCGUAGCGAAAGCGAGUUUUAACUGAGCGUUCAGUUACUUGACGUAGACCCGAAACCGGGCGACCUACCCAUGAGCAGGAUGAAGCGAAAGUAAAAUUUCGUGGAGGUCCGAACCCACGAGCGUUGAAAAGCUCGGGGAUGACUUGUGGGUAGCGGUGAAAUUCCAAUCGAGCCCGGAGAUAGCUGGUUCUCCCCGAAAUAGCUUUAGGGCUAGCCUCAAGGUGAGAGAUACGGAGGUAGAGCACUGAAUGUCCUAGGGGGUAUUGCACCUACCGAAGACUAUCAAACUCCGAAUGCCGUCAUCUUAUACUUGGGAGUCAGACUGUGGGUGAUAAGAUUCAUAGUCGAAAGGGCAACAGCCCAGAUCGUCAGCUAAGGUCCCUAAAUGUAAGUUAAGUGGUAAAGGAUGUGGGAUUGCACAGACAACCAGGAUGUUGGCUUAGAAGCAGCCACUCAUUCAAAGAGUGCGUAAUAGCUCACUGGUCGAGUGAUCCUGCGCCGAAGAUUUCCGGGGCUAAAACUUACUACCGAAGCUACGGCAUCAGUAAUGAUGGGUAGGGGAGCUUCCCAUACGGGUUGAAGCAUGACCGUAAGGACAUGUGGACAGUAUGGGAGUGAGAAUGUUGGCAUGAGUAGCGAGAUGUGGGUGAGAAUCCCACAGGCCGUAAACCCAAGGUUUCCAGGGGAAGGUUCGUCCGCCCUGGGUUAGUCGGGACCUAAGCUGAGGCCGAAAGGCGUAGGUGAUGGACAACAGGUUGAUAUUCCUGUACUACCGAUAACCGUUUGAGAGAAGGGAUGACACAGUAGGAUAAGCUAAGCACACUGUUGGUUAUGUGUGCCCAAGCAUUGAGGCAGUCAAAGUAGGCAAAUCCGCUUUGAUAAUGCUGGGAUGUGAUGGGGAGCGAAAUUUAGUAGCGAAGUAGCUGAUUUCACACUGUCAAGAAAAGUCUCUAUCGAGGUUAAAGGUACCCGUACCGCAAACCGACACAGGUGGGUGAGGAGAGUAUCCUAAGGCCAGCGAGAGAACUGUUGUUAAGGAACUCGGCAAAAUGACCCCGUAACUUAGGGAUAAGGGGUGCCACCAUCAGGUGGCCGCAGAGAAUAGGCCCAAGCGACUGUUUACCAAAAACAUAGGUUUCUGCUAAGUCGCAAGACGAUGUAUAGGAGCUGACGCCUGCCCGGUGCUGGAAGGUUAAGGGGAUCUGUUAGAGCAAUCGAAGCAGUGAACUUAAGCCCCAGUAAACGGCGGCCGUAACUAUAACGGUCCUAAGGUAGCGAAAUUCCUUGUCGGGUAAGUUCCGACCCGCACGAAAGGCGUAACGAUUUGGGCACUGUCUCAACAACAGACUCGGUGAAAUUGUAAUUCCGGUGAAGAUGCCGGAUACCUGCGACAGGACGGAAAGACCCCAUGGAGCUUUACUGUAGCUUGACAUUGGGUCUUGGUACUACAUGUACAGGAUAGGUGGGAGGCUUUGAAACCAGGACGCCAGUUUUGGCGGAGCCAUCCUUGGGAUACCACCCUUGUAGUACUGGGACUCUAACCAUAGGCCAUGAAUCUGGUCUUGGGACACUGUCAGGUGGGCAGUUUGACUGGGGCGGUCGCCUCCCAAAAGGUAACGGAGGCGCUCAAAGGUUCUCUCAGUACGGUCGGAAAU